CCGCGGUAAUACGAACUGUGCGAACGUUAUUCGGAAUCACUGGGCUUAAAGGGUGCGUAGGCGGCUUCUUAAGUAGGGUGUGAAAUGUCCCGGCUCAACCGGGGAAUGGCGCUCUAAACUGGGUGGCUUGAGUGAGAUAGAGGUGUGCGGAACUUCCGGUGGAGCGGUGAAAUGUGUUGAUAUCGGAGGGAACACCAUUGGCGAAAGCGGCACACUGGGUCUCAACUGGCGCUGAGGCACGAAAGCCAGG
rnacentral:rRNA from 1 species